ACAUGCAAGUCGAGCGGCAGCGGGAAGAUAGCUUGCUAUCUUUGCCGGCGAGCGGCGGACGGGUGAGUAAUGCCUAGGGAUCUGCCCAGUCGAGGGGGAUAACAGUUGGAAACGACUGCUAAUACCGCAUACGCCCUACGGGGGAAAGGAGGGGACCUUCGGGCCUUCCGCGAUUGGAUGAACCUAGGUGGGAUUAGCUAGUUGGUGAGGUAAUGGCUCACCAAGGCGACGAUCCCUAGCUGUUCUGAGAGGAUGAUCAGCCACACUGGGACUGAGACACGGCCCAGACUCCUACGGGAGGCAGCAGUGGGGAAUAUUGCACAAUGGGGGAAACCCUGAUGCAGCCAUGCCGCGUGUGUGAAGAAGGCCUUCGGGUUGUAAAGCACUUUCAGUAGGGAGGAAAGGGAGAGGCUUAAUACGUUGGUGCUGAGAC
rnacentral:rRNA from 1 species